UAAAUGUCCUAAGUGGUGUUAUUUGAAUUUUUGUUAUCUCAAUUGAUUGGAAAUUUUAUGAUGGUGUUUUGUGGAUUUGAAUGAGGUUUAAUCUAGCAACUUGAAAAUUUACUCGGUGCAGAGUUGAGAUCAAUUGUUGGUUCUAAAGUAAUUUGGUGGAAAAAUUAUCUAACCAUCGCUUGUGAAAAGAACAAAUAUUCUACUCUGUUAGGCUAUAGUAGUUUCAAUUCAGUUUCUAAAGUUAUUAUAUAAAAGUUAUUAUAUUUUUGAAGCUCCCUCUCACUCGAACCCGUUGAAUUUUGUAUAUGCUGAGUUCUUGAAGAUAACGCGUACCUUCUCUUUCAUUUCUCAGGGAUCCCUACUUAGAGUGUGUCAAUUCAGACCAUCAAAGUUUGUUGGCUUAGCUAUGAGCAAGGAGAUUAUAUAACUUGGUCUGAUUGGUUGAGAGAGAUCAAUGGUUGCUAUGGCCGGGCAGAAAGUAAUGCACUAUUGUCAUAUGGUCACAAACUAGAGUAACUAACAAAUGUUUCUGAUAUGACCAGGGGACCAUAAUAGUUUCUAUGUAAAGCUGGUUUCAAGUUUGCAAUUAAUGGAUAACUCAUGAGACAACUGGUUCAAUGUUGACUUGGACACUUUAUCUUCCAAGUAAGCUAAUAGUGUAAACCAUAAUUAGUAGAAUAGAAGAGACUUUAGUCAAAAGUAGGAAUGAAAAUUUCUAAUAUAAGUUAUUAUUUUAAUUGGUUUGCCUUAGUUUGCCUUGGUUUGAAAUAUUGUAUGACAUUUGGUAUUUUGGAUGAUGUUGAAUUUUAAUGACAUUUGAUUAUAUUAUGUAAUUGUAUUUUGGUUGAA